rnacentral:lncRNA from 11 species
CCCGGAUGAGGGGGCUUGGUCCCGUCGUAGAAUGGGGUGAAGUGCCCUGCACAGUAGAAUGGCCUAAAGUGCCCUGUAGCCAUGGAUAGCGACCAGCUAAGACAUCGGACCUGAGCUCCUCUGCUCAACUCUUCCUGUUCCAUAAAAGUCCAAAUCCUGCUCUGCGCCAUUCCUACUUGCCCCACUGAUGAUGGUCCCAAUUCUGCUCUGUUAGUAUCCCUCCUUACCUUGGCAAUAAAUGCACCAAUCCCCU